rnacentral:misc_RNA from 1 species
UUUCCGUAGGUGAACCUGCGGAAGGAUCAUUAAUGAGUUGUCAUGGGGUUCGAUGCUGGCAGCCAAUUUUUGGAUGCAUGUGCUUGCCCUAACAAUCAUCUUCCAAACACCUGUGCACAUUUUUGAGGGAGUCUUGAGUUGGUUGCCGCUCUUGGGUGAUUUUCUCACAUUCCCUUAAAUCAUUAUACGCUAUUAACAAUGUUGAACGUGCUCUGUGCCGCAAGGCCAUUAAUAUAAUGCAACUUUUAACAACGGAUCUCUUGGCUCUC